rnacentral:rRNA from 1 species
UACGAAGGGGGCUAGCGUUGCUCGGAAUCACUGGGCGUAAAGGGUGCGUAGGCGGGUCUUUAAGUCAGGGGUGAAAUCCUGGAGCUCAACUCCAGAACUGCCUUUGAUACUGAAGAUCUUGAGUUCGGGAGAGGUGAGUGGAACUGCGAGUGUAGAGGUGAAAUUCGUAGAUAUUCGCAAGAACACCAGUGGCGAAGGCGGCUACCUGGACCAGCACUGACACUGAAGCACGAAAGCGUGGGGAGCAAACAGG